rnacentral:rRNA from 1 species
GGUGGGGAUGGCACAGGCGAGACGGGUAGCCGGCCUGAGAGGGCGACCGGCCACACUGGGACUGAGACACGGCCCAGACUCCUACGGGAGGCAGCAGUGGGGAAUAUUGCACAAUGGGCGAAAGCCUGAUGCAGCGACGCCGCGUGAGGGAUGACGGCCUUCGGGUUGUAAACCUCUUUCAGCAGGGAAGAAGCGAAAGUGACGGUACCUGCAGAAGAAGCGCCGGCUAACUACGUGCCAGCAGCCGCGGUAAUACGUAGGGCGCAAGCGUUGUCCGGAAUUAUUGGGCGUAAAGAGCUCGUAGGCGGCUUGUCACGUCGGAUGUGAAAGCCCGAGGCUUAACCUCGGGUCGGCAUUCGAUACGGGCUAGCUAGAGUGUGGUAGGGGAGAUCGGAAUUCCUGGUGUAGCGGUGAAAUGCGCAGAUAUCAGGAGGAACACCGGUGGCGAAGGCGGAUCUCUGGGCCAUUACUGACGCUGAGGAGCGAAAGCGUGGGGAGCGAACAGGAUUAGAUACCCUGGUAGUCCACGCCGUAAACGUUGGGAACUAGGUGUUGGCGACAUUCCACGUCGUCGGUGCCGCAGCUAACGCAUUAAGUUCCCCGCCUGGGGAGUACGGCCGCAAGGCUAAAACUCAAAGGAAUUGACGGGGGCCCGCACAAGCAGCGGAGCAUGUGGCUUAAUUCAACGCAACGCCAAGAACCUUACCAAGGCUUGACAUAUACCGAAAAACAUUAGAAAUAAGUGCCCCCCCUUGUGGUCCGGAAACAGGGGGGGCAUGGCUGUCGUCAACUCGCGCCGUGAAAAGUUGGGUUAAAUCCCGCAACGAGCGCAACCCUUGUCCUGUGUUGCCAGCAUGCCCUUCGGGGUGAUGGGGACUCACAGGAGACCGCCGGGGUCAACUCGGAGGAAGGUGGGGACGACGUCAAGUCAUCAUGCCCCUUAUGUCUUGGGCUGCACACGUGCUACAAUGGCCGGUACAAUGAGCUGCGAUACCGUGAGGUGGAGCGAAUCUCAAAAAGCCGGUCUCAGUUCGGAUUGGGGUCUGCAACUCGACCCCAUGAAGUCGGAGUUGCUAGUAAUCGCAGAUCAGCAUUGCUGCGGUGAAUACGUUCCCGGGCCUUGUACACACCGCCCGUCACUCACGAAAGUCGGUACACCCAAGCCGUGCCAGCUAGUUU